rnacentral:sRNA from 1 species
GGGAAUACUAGAAUCACUGAGAAGAAGAGCAAGGAUGAUGACUGAUGGAUUCAACAGCUGCAAAAACGUCGUCUGUAAUUUCACAGAAGGUGCUAUGUAUUCAUUCCCU